rnacentral:rRNA from 1 species
AGCGAACGCUGGCGGCAGGCCUAACACAUGCAAGUCGAACGACCCUUUCGGGGUUAGUGGCGGACGGGUGAGUAACACGUGGGAACGUGCCUUUAGGUUCGGAAUAACUCAGGGAAACUUGUGCUAAUACCGCAUGUGCCCUUCGGGGGAAAGAUUAAUCGCCUUUAGUGCGGCCCGCGUCUGAUUAGCUAGUUGGUUGAGGUAAUGGCUCACCAAGGCGACGAUCAGUAGCUGGUCUGAGAGGAUGAUCAGCCACAUUGGGACUGAGACACGGCCCAGACUCCUACGCGAGGCAGCAGUGGGGAAUCUUGCGCAAUGGGCGAAAGCCUGACGCAGCCAGGCCGCGUGAAUGAUGAAGGUCGUAGGAUUGUAAAAUUCUUUCACCGGGGACGAUAAUGACGGUACCCGGAGAAGAAGCCCCGGCUAACUUCGUG